rnacentral:rRNA from 1 species
CCUACGGGAGGCUGCAGUGGGGAAUCUUGGACAAUGGGCGCAAGCCUGAUCCAGCGACGCCGCGUGGGUGACGAAGGCCUUCGGGGUGUAAACUACUGUCAGGGGAAAGAAAGUUCUGAUCUACCCCAGAGGAAGGGACGGCUAACUCUGUGCCAGCAGCCGCGGUAAGACAGAGGUCCCGAGCGUUAGGCGGAAUCACUGGGCUUAAAGCGUGUGUAGGUGGAUGCCUAAGUACCUUGUGAAAUCCCACGGCUCACCCGUGGAACUGCUCGGUAUACUGGGUGUCUUGAGCCACUUAGGGGCUACCGGAACAAAUGGUGGAGCGGUGAAAUGCGUAGAUAUCAUUUGGAACGCCAAUGGUGAAAACAGGUAGCUGGGAGUGUGCUGACGCUGAGACACGAAAGCCAGGGGAGCAAACGGGAUUAGAUACCCCUGUAGUC